rnacentral:lncRNA from 1 species
GUCCUCUGAUCCCAUCCUGACGUAACACGCUAACGUGAGUGAUUUCUUCAGUGCUGCCAUUCCACUGGAGAUUGCAGUACAAUCUCCUUCCAUGCUAGU